UUUAAUUGAAGACCAAGUCAGAAUCCUUGCACCAUCUGGUAGCCAUGGAUACCACACUCAAUACACAAUAUGAUCUUAGGAGUCUUUUUUUUUUUUUUUCUUAACAUCUCCAGGGGUGUUUAAUCCCCUUCCUAACUUUCUUCACACUUAAUCUCCAGUCCACUCCUGCGCCAACCCUCUUCCAAGACUGGAAUCUCUAAGAGGUGAAAUCAACCUGGAUCUAGAUGUCAGAAAAUCCACUUCUAGUCUUCUGCUAUAUUUUUUUAACAAGCCGUGUCACUCUGAACAAGCCACAUAAUCUUACUAAAUUCACUCAGCUCUAAAAGACAGUUGUGUUACCUUGGACAAAAUAAUGUCUGAAAUGGAGAUGAGGAUCCCAGACGGUCUACUUCCAGAACUGCAGAAGAAAAUGUUGAAAACCACUGAGCUACACCAUUCCAGAGGCAUACUUAUAAGACUGUUCUCAUAAUUCUACCAUAUAUCACUGACCUGAAGAGGGAAAGAAGAGUACAAUAAUAUUACUGGUACUUACCAGUGAAAAUCCACAAGUCACCACACUUUGCCCAGAAUCACAUUGGCCGCCCUUCUCCAUGGAAGCACAGAGUGGGACCUGCCAAGUUUGUGGAGAUACCUACUUGGGUUGGCUGGAAAUAGGUAAGGGGGG